rnacentral:rRNA from 1 species
UACAGAGGUGGCAAGCGUUGUUCGGAAUUACUGGGCGUAAAGGGCGCGUAGGCGGCCUCGCAAGUCCCGUGUGAAAUCCCUCGGCUCAACUGAGGAAUGGCACGGGAAACUGCGGGGCUUGAGUUCGGGAGAGGGAAGCGGAAUUCCGGGUGUAGCGGUGAAAUGCGUAGAUAUCGGGAGGAACACCAGUGGCGAAGGCGACUACCUGGCCUGUUCUUGACGCUGAGGCGCGAAAGCGUGGGGAGCAAACAGG